GUGGACUAGCAAAGGGACAGGAAGAGGGUAAUGAGCGCCAUAGACUGCAGCUGAGAAGAGAACCUAUCCAUGACGGGAAUUUUGCAGUGGAUUAUAAUACUUACUGAAGCACAGAUUAACCAGUAAACAUAGAAAACAACAGAGGAAACUUCAGAUUUCACGUAUCUUUAAAUUAAGGAGAAGAUUAAGUUAAAGUAUAGGUCUGACCAUCCUUGAGUUUCAAAACACUCUCACUAAUGUUGAGCUGAGGAAAACCUUCAGGAAUAUGCCUCUUUUUCUGAAGUUCAGGUAGUGGCAUAGCAUGUAAACUGUCAAAACAGCCAAGGAACUUUGAUGGACCAGCAUUGCAUGAAGCUAUGGAAAUUUCCAGGCUGAAACUCUGCAAGUAGUGACCCAAGUCACACCAAACACUCAGCUGCAGAGUGAGAACCAGUGAAGGGAAGCAACAAAUAUCUGCCUAGACUCCCAGCACUGUGAGAAUGU
rnacentral:lncRNA from 1 species